GUUAGCUAGGUAAUGCUCUGUUCAGCUGUAGUGGGACUAGGGCAAAGCAGUUAGCUAGGUUACUGCUCUGUUCAGCUGUAGUGGGACUAGGGCAAAGCAGUUAGCUAGGUUACUGCUCUGUUCAGCUGUAGUGGGACUAGGGCAGAGCAGUUAGCUAGGUAAUGCUCUGUUCAGCUGUAGUGGGACUAGGGCAGAGCAGUUAGCUAGGUUACUGCUCUGUUCAGCUGUAGUGGGACUAGGGCAAAGCAGUUAGCUAGGUUACUGCUCUGUUCAGCUGUAGUGGGACUAGGGCAAAGCAGUUAGCUAGGUAAUGCUCUGUUCAGCUGUAGUGGGACUAGGGCAAAGCAGUUAGCUAGGUUACUGCUCUGUUCAGCUGUAGUGGGACUAGGGCAAAGCAGUUGGCUAGGUUACUGCUCUGUUCAGCUGUCGUGGGACUAGGGCAAAGCAGUUAGCUAGGUUACUGCUCUGUUCAGCUGUAGUGGGACUAGGGCAGAGCAGUUAGCUAGGUUACUGCUCUGUUCAGCUGUAGUGGGACUAGGGCAGAGCAGUUAGCUAGGUUACUGCUCUGUUCAGCUGUAGUGGGACUAGGGCAAAGCAGUUAGCUAGGUUACUGCUCUGUUCAGCUGUCGUGGGACUAGGGCA